AAGCUACUUAUUCUGUAAACUGGCAGAAAGAAUCUCUCUGGAUACUUGUUUUCAACUUUUUUAAAGUUCUUACACCUAGACUGGAAAUAAAAACAUUUACCUAAAAAGCAAAUAUUUUCUUCAUUAAAAAGCUAAGCUAAACAGAUUAAGUUUAGUGAAAACAAUUUCAGUGACAUAGGAAAACAGUGACGCUUAAGCAGGCUUUUCUCUGGAAAUCUAUAAAUAAAUGAGUUUCAGCUUUCUGACUGCAGGAAUCACAUCUAGUUACCCUGGUGCCUCCAUGCCUGGUGAUAAGCGAUACAGAGUGGGUGCUGUGUUUCUGUUGUUGAGUGACUUUGAACUUGCUUAUCCAGCCGUGAGAUAGGAAGACGUAUUUUUCUUCUUUAGUUAGAGCUUGUAUCCUGCCUAGCGCUAACCAAUUGCUCACACUCAUUACUGUUACUUGAAGACUCAGCCCCAGCCUGUGCAAAAUGAAUUGGCUCAUGGCCAGCUCUUCCAUGCUUGGGGAAGCAGAGGGUUUCAUGCUGGGCCCCCAAGGGAGAUCCAGGCCCUCUGCAUUCAGACUCUACCACAGCCAAGCCUGUGGGAGAAGUAUGAGACCGGACUUGCCCAGAAAACCAGCCUGUGUCAAAUUCUGAGUCACACCCAGAGAAGGGCUCUCCCUCCACCCGGGUGUGAGGCAACGCUGAGCCCUGCUGCAUUAAGGGGUCCAGCUUUUCUUUGGAGCCAAGACCAGCCCGUUAAGGGACUGCUUCUUCAAGACUUCAAGAUCUACUCAUCUCCUGGCACCUUCAUUAUUGAAUAGAAGCUAGCAGGAAUAGUGAAGCCUCUUCAGAAGUAGAAUGGAUUCUAAUGGAGGAAUGGAGACCACCAUAAGCUCAACCAAGUGGCUGCCCUGAUGACAACUGCAGAUCCAUGUGCACUGUUAUUGUUGGAAUGAAAUCCUACAGCAUCAGACACGUGGCAUGCAACAUGAAAUUGGAGAAUAUGCUCUUGCCUCUUCUGAUCAGAACACAAGUCUUAAUUGAAGUUGUAUGAAAGCACAAUAUUGAGUAACAUUUUUGCCCCAGGAUUGUUUAUUGUUUUCUGUGAUUAUGAAUAAAGCUGCUG